rnacentral:lncRNA from 1 species
AGCCAUCUCCCUCCCACAGAGACCCAGCCUGUGGAGCAUCCUGGCCCCCAGCGGGCACACGGAGGCCCACAGCUCUAGAAUUGGGGCUGGAAAGAGGACACCAGAGGGAGAGUUUCACAGAGAGCCAGAAAAGUGCUAGGGAGAAGGCAUCAAUCUCUCAUAAAAUGGAAAGCUGCCCACUUCCGAUCUCCAAUCAAGCAAAGGAGACAGAAGUGGCGGCUGUCGCCAAGCUGCCACAUCUCCAGAAUCACUGCUGAGUAAUUGCUGGGUACUUCAAGUCCGGGAUGGGGGCUCUUUAAGCAAUAUUUCAUGGGAGAGAUAUUGAGCCCUCAUCAGGACAAGAAAUAUGGUCGUUAAACAGGCAGCUAAUGGUAUACCAUUCAUCCGGGGGCAAAUCUGUGAGGUUCAUUAAGCUGACCAGCCCAGCUCCUGAAGAGGGAUGCAAAAUUAGCCAGAGGAGGGAAGAGGUAGGAAGACACUGGAAGGAGGUGGAGUGAAGAAGCUUGUCUUCCAGGUGGUGAUUCUGGAACGUGGAAGGGAAGGGAUGGGAAGCUCGUCUUCUUCCCUGCUCCUCACAAAGAACGUUUUGACUCGGCGGAGCAGAUUGCUAGAAGGAAUCCCUAGUCAACGCAUCUGACCAGUACGCCCCGAAGAUCACCAACUUCCAUUGUUAAAUUCUCAACCGGUGCCACUUUCCCAAACCCAGAAAGCUGCUCUGCAAAAAACCUGCCCAAUCAACCUGACCUCUGGGCAGCCUCUACCCAGACCACUGGGAGUUUUCAUCAAAGGGAAAGAAGACAAGGCACAGCGCAGGGGCUGGUUCUCAAGGCUUCCACACAAAGCUGACCCAAUCAUUCUGCUCACGUUUCACAGGCUGGAACAGGUCUCCUGGAGACCUAAGCAUUCAAGAAAUAGGAAAAUGGGGCAGCCGGGGUGGCCCAGUGGUUUAGCGAUGCCUUCAGCCCAGGACCUGAUCCUGGAGACCCGGGAUCGAGUCCCACCUCGGGCUCCCUGCAUGGAGCCUGCUUCUCCCUCUCCUGUGCCUCUGCCUCUCUCUCUGUGUCUCUCAUGAAUAAAUAAAUAAAAUAUUAAAAAAAAAAGAAAUAAGGAAUGUAAUCCCCUACCUCAGAAUUUGGCAAACUUCUGUAUAAGGCCUCGUGGUAAGUAUUAUAUACUGUGGGCUGC